rnacentral:rRNA from 1 species
AUUGAACGCUGGCGGCAUGCCUUACACAUGCAAGUCGAACGGUAACGGUCUUCGGAUGCUGACGAGUGGCGAACGGGUGAGUAAUACAUCGGAACGUGCCCGAUCGUGGGGGAUAACGGAGCGAAAGCUUUGCUAAUACCGCAUACGAUCUACGGAUGAAAGCAGGGGACCGCAAGGCCUUGCGCGGACGGAGCGGCCGAUGGCAGAUUAGGUAGUUGGUGGGAUAAAAGCUUACCAAGCCGACGAUCUGUAGCUGGUCUGAGAGGACGACCAGCCACACUGGGACUGAGACACGGCCCAGACUCCUACGGGAGGCAGCAGUGGGGAAUUUUGGACAAUGGGCGCAAGCCUGAUCCAGCCAUGCCGCGUGCAGGAUGAAGGCCUUCGGGUUGUAAACUGCUUUUGUACGGAACGAAAAGACUCUUUCUAAUAAAGAGGGUUCAUGACGGUACCGUAAGAAUAAGCACCGGCUAACUACGUGCCAGCAGCCGCCGCGGUAA